AACGAACGCUGGCGGCAGGCCUAACACAUGCAAGUCGAGCGCCCCGCAAGGGGAGCGGCGGACGGGUGAGUAACGCGUGGGAACGUGCCUCUUGCUACGGAAUAGCCUCGGGAAACUGGGAGUAAUACCGUAUGUGCCCUACGGGGGAAAGAUUUAUCGGCAAGAGAUCGGCCCGCGUUGGAUUAGGUAGUUGGUGGGGUAAUGGCCUACCAAGCCGACGAUCCAUAGCUGGUUUGAGAGGAUGAUCAGCCACACUGGGACUGAGACACGGCCCAGACUCCUACGGGAGGCAGCAGUGGGGAAUCUUAGACAAUGGGCGCAAGCCUGAUCUAGCCAUGCCGCGUGAGCGAUGAAGGCCUUAGGGUUGUAAAGCUCUUUCAGUGGGAAGAUAAUGACUGUACCCACAGAAGAAGCCCCGGCUAACUCCGUG
rnacentral:rRNA from 1 species